AACUUGAAAGGGAAGCAUGCAGCGUUCUUAUAUGAGAUGUGCAAGUUCUACAGAGAUUGGCAUGCCAAUUCUGAUGGUUUUCAUGGAAUUUUCCUUCAUGAUCCUGUGAGCUUCACUGCCGUACUUCAUCCAGAGUACUUCACAUUCAAGAAGGGUGUGGUGAGAGUAGAGACCAGGGCAUUUGCACUGGCCACACUUUGAUGGAUCAGGGAUUGAAAAAGUGGAAUUCAGAGAAGCCAUGGUCAGGGUAUAAACCGAUUUCUGUUGCAUGGACGGUUGAUGUGCCAAAGGUCAUCAGCAUUAUAAAGAAGCUGCUCAUGGCACCAUGAGCAAAGUACAACCAUUUAACGACUUGUCGACAUCAGCGCUCUCUGAUGUCCAAGAAAAUUUGACGAGUACAGACCCUCUUUCUCAGCUGCACUGUAAUUAGUUCCUGGACGUAGGAUGGUUCCUAUUCCUCCAAUAGUAAGAGGAACCUUUCAUUGUGAAAGGUCAUGCAGCAGUCUCGAAUACCAUGAAGCAAAUUCUGGCAUACGACAUCAUGUCUCACACAUUUGUAUCAAUACAUUUCGAACCAAUAAAGUUUCCCUCACUCUUUACUGUGCA